GUUUAGACGCUUGACAGCAGACCUUGAAGAUGUUGCCCGUCAGAAGGCCGUUCUUGCUCAGAAACACAAAUGGAGUGAUAUUGAAAACCUUCCAAAACCGGACAAACUUGUGUUCGAAACAUGGAAUGCUAUGCCCAACAUUUAUGUAAACAUUAAAAAGUAUGCGCUUUGAGUCCUGUCGAUCUUUGGAUCCACAUAUGUAUGUGAGCAGGUGUUCUCCAACAUGAACUUUAUUAAAAACAAACAUCGCGCACGCCUCACAGAUGACAGCUUGCGAUCCUGUGUAAAGAUGAAGGUGAUGUCAUACAGCCCUGAUGUGCAGACGCUGUGCGCUGAGGUCCAGGAGCAGAAAUCCCAUUAACCAAGCUGACAGCUGGCUGAUGUUAUUUUUGGUUUGCUGCUGGCGGAAAAUUUAAGUUCGGCGUUUUUCAUAAAUACAAGAAGGACUCAAAUAGACAUUGAGUAUUUUACUUAAAAGUAACUUUCAACCCAACGUCUUUUUUUCGGAGUUCAAAAUGUUUUUGUUGCAUGCAGAAAUGUAAUUUCGUUUUCUCUGCAGGAGUUCAUCAAUUUCAUAAAUGCAACACAUUAUAGUUUGUUUAUACAUAGCAUAAAGGCAAAAAAAACGUUG